GGAAAGUCGAAAUUAGAAGGGAAGAAGAGCUGGUAAGGUAUGAGGGAACUGGGUAAUGGGCCUACCUAGUUAACAAGUGUGGCAUCGAGAGGAGUUUAAGCAUUCUGCAGGUGGUCUGGAGAUCUUGUGAUUGCUAAGGGGUGAAGACGGAAGUGCGAUGUGGCUGGGUUGAUGGCAAUUUAGCGUAGGCGGUGAGGUGAGUUGGGUGUUGUGGUUGUGUAGUAUGGAGAAGAGGUGACGUGGAGCUGGAGAUGGCAUAGCUGUGAUGCAAAAUGGUGUUCUGUGAUGGCUGAGAGAGAGAGAGAGAGAGAG
rnacentral:misc_RNA from 1 species